rnacentral:rRNA from 1 species
AGUGAGCGCUGGCGGUAGGCCUAACACAUGCGAGUCGAACGGCAGCACAGUAAGAGCUUGCUCUUACGGGUGGCGAGUGGCGGACGGGUGAGGAAUACAUCGGAAUCUACUUUUUCGUGGGGGAUAAUGUAGGGAAACUUACGCUAAUACCGCAUACGACCUACGGGUGAAAGCAGGGGAUCUUCGGACCUUGCGCGAUUGAAUGAGCCGAUGUCGGAUUAGCUAGUUGGCGGGGUAAAGGCCCACCAAGGCGACGAUCCGUAGCUGGUCUGAGAGGAUGAUCAGCCACACUGGAACUGAGACACGGUCCAGACUCCUACGGGAGGCGGCAGUGGGGAAUAUUGGACAAUGGGCGCAAGCCUGAUCCAGCCAUACCGCGUGGGUGAAGAAGGCCUUCGGGUUGUAAAGCCCUUUUGUUGGGAAAGAAAAGCAGCAGGUUAAUACCCCGCUGUUCUGACGGUACCCAAAGAAUAAGCACCGGCUAACUUCGUG